CACAUGCAAGUCGANGGACCCUUCGGGGUUAGUGGCGGACGGGUGAGGAACACGUGGGAACGUGCCUUUUGGUUCGGAACAACUCAGGGAAACUUGAGCUAAUACCGGAUGUGCCCUUCGGGGGAAAGAUUUAUCGCCAUUAGAGCGGCCCGCGUCUGAUUAGCUAGUUGGUGGGGUAAAGGCUCACCAAGGCGACGAUCAGUAGCUGGUCUGAGAGGAUGAUCAGCCACACUGGGACUGAGACACGGCCCAGACUCCUACGGGAGGCAGCAGUGGGGAAUCUUGCGCAAUGGGCGAAAGCCUGACGCAGCCAUGCCGCGUGAAUGAUGAAGGUCUUAGGAUUGUAAAAUUCUUUCACCGGGGACGAUAAUGACGGUACCCGGAGAAGAAGCCCCGGCUAACUUCGUGCCAGCAGCCCGCGGUAAA
rnacentral:rRNA from 1 species